CAGGGCGAAGCUGCCGAUAUCACGCUUCCAGGAAAAGCUCCUAAGCUUCAGCUUACGCAGACCGUACCGUAAACCGACACAGGUGGGCAGGAUGAGAAUUCUCAGGCGCUUGAGAGAACUUAGGUGAAGGAACUAGGCAAAAUAGUACCGUAACUUCGGGAGAAGGUACGCCCUCCAUGGUUAACAGCUGAGGAGGGCCGCAGAAACCAGGCCGCUGCGACUGUUUAUCAAAAACACAGCACUCUGCAAACACGAAAGUGGACGUAUAGGGUGUGACGCCUGCCCGGUGCCGGAAGGUUAAUUGAUGGGGUCAGCCGCAAGGCGAAGCUCUUGAUCGAAGCCCCGGUAAACGGCGGCCGUAACAAUAACGGUCCUAAGGUAGCGAAAUUCCUUGUCGGGUAAGUUCCGACCUGCACGAAUGGCGUAACGACAGCGGCGCUGUCUCCACCUAAGACUCAGUGAAAUUGAAAUCGCUGUGAAGAUGCAGCGUUCCCGCGGCAAGACGGAAAGACCCCGUGAACCUUUACUAUAGCUUUACACUGAACGUUGAGUUCGUCUGUGUAGGAUAGGUGGGAGCCUAUGAAACCGAGGCGCUAGCUUCGGCGGAGGCAACCUUGAAAUACCACCCUGAUGUGCUUGACGUUCUAACUUAGGUCCGUAAUCCGGAUCGAGGACCGUGUAUGGUGGGUAGUUUGACUGGGGCGGUCUCCUCCCAAAGAGUAACGGAGGAGCUCGAAGGUACGCUCAGCGCGGUCGGACAUCGCGCACUGUGUGCAAAGGCAUAAGCGCGCUUGACUGCAAGAUCGACGGAUCAAGCAGGUAGGAAACUAGGACUUAGUGAUCCGGUGGUUCUGUAUGGAAGGGCCAUCGCUCAACGGAUAAAAGGUACUCCGGGGAUAACAGGCUGAUACCGCCCAAGAGUUCAUAUCGACGGCGGUGUUUGGCACCUCGAUGUCGGCUUAUCACAUCCUGGGGCUGUAGUCGGUCCCAAGGGUAUGGCUGUUCGCCAUUUAAAGUGGUACGUGAGCUGGGUUCAGAACGUCGUGAGACAGUUCGGUCCCUAUCUGUCGUGGGCGUUGGAGAUUUGAGAGGGGCUGCUCCUAGUACGAGAGGACCGGAGUGGACGAACCUCUGGUGUUCCGGUUGUCAUGCCAAUGGCACGGCCGGGUAGCUAUGUUCGGAAGCGAUAACCGCUGAAAGCAUCUAAGCGGGAAGCGCGCCUCAAGAUGAGAUCUCCCGGGACACAAGUCCCCUAAAGGAACCAUCAAGACCAGGUGGUUGAUAGGCAGGGUGUGUAAGCGCAGCAAUGCGUUGAGCUAACCUGUACUAAUGAUCCGUGUGGCUUGAUC
rnacentral:rRNA from 1 species